rnacentral:lncRNA from 1 species
ACCGAGAAAUACACAGCACAAGGCUCCAACACACUGAAACACACGACACAAGAACAGAGACGGUAUAGGAUGCCAGCACGGCCAGGAACACUGCAAUCCGGUGGAUCACCACAACUGCAUUACACAUUCACGUCCCAAGCCAAGAUCUUGAUUAUUGCGUAACUGUGUUACAAAGGUAGAGUUUACUCACAACAAUGAUCGUUCUCUGUUUCACUCGAAAGAACAGAGACGGUAUAGGAUGCCAGCACGGCCAGGAACACUGCAAUCCGGUGGAUCACCACAACUGCAUUACACAUUCACGUCCCAAGCCAAGAUCUUGAUUAUUGCGCAACUGUGUUACAAAGGUAGAGUUUACUCACAACAAUGAUCGUUCUCUGUUUCACUCGAACAAUCGCUUACAUUGAACGUCUGGUGCAAAACGGGUGCAACUGCAAUGGGAGAAACUAUACCGUGGUUUACGCGGCCAUGAUGCAUUCAAUGGCUUCCUUGCAGAU